rnacentral:rRNA from 1 species
UACAGAGGUCUCAAGCGUUGUUCGGAUUCAUUGGGCGUAAAGGGUGUGUAGGUGGCGCGCUAAGUCGGGUGUGAAAUUUCGGAGCUUAACUCCGAAACUGCAUUCGAUACUGGCGUGCUUGAGGACUGGAGAGGAGACUGGAAUUCCCGGUGUAGUGGUGAAAUGCGUAGAUAUCGGGAGGAACACCAGUGGCGAAGGCGACUACCUGGCCUGUUCUUGACGCUGAGGCGCGAAAGCUAGGGGAGCAAACGGG